GACGAACGCUGGCGGCGUGCUUAACACAUGCAAGUCGAGCGGUGCGGCGGACGGGUGAGUAACGCGUGAGUAACUGGCCCCCUCUCUGGGAUAACAGUUGGAAACGGCUGCUAAUACCUGAUAGUGGGGGAUGACUCGCGUCCUAUCAGCUUGUUGGUGGGGUAGCGGCGUACCAAGGCGACGCCGGGUAGCCGGCCUGAGAUGGGGACCGGCCACAUUGGGCUGAGAUACGGACCAAACGCCUACGGGGGGCAGCGGUGGGGAAUAUGGCACAAUGGGGGAAACCCUGAUGCAGCAACGCCGCGUGCGGGAUGACGGCCUUCGGGUUGUAAACCGCUUUCAGCCAUGACGCGGUAGUGGCAGAAGAAGCACCGGCUAACUACGUGCCAGCAGCCGCGGUAAUAC
rnacentral:rRNA from 1 species